AAUUUUUAUGGAGAGUUUGAUCCUGGCUCAGGAUGAACGCUGGCGGCGUGCCUAAUACAUGCAAGUC
rnacentral:rRNA from 4 species